GUGCCAGCAGCCGCGGUAAUACGUAGGGGGCGAGCGUUGUCCGGAUUUAUUGGGCGUAAAGAGCGUGUAGGCGGCUUGGUAGGUCUGCUGUGAAAACUCGGGGCUCAACCCCGAGACGUCGGUGGAAACCACCUGGCUAGAGUCCGGAAGAGGAGAGUGGAAUUCCUGGUGUAGCGGUGAAAUGCGCAGAUAUCAGGAAGAAUAUCCGUGGCGAAGGCGGCUCUCUGGUACGGCACUGACGCUGAGACGCGAAAGCGUGGGGAGCGAACAGGAUUAGAUACCCUGGUAGUCC
rnacentral:rRNA from 1 species